AACCUUAUGGACCUGCGGGCGUAUACCUGCGGAGGGAUCAUUACUGAGUCACGUGCUCAAACAACCCUUCUGUGGACCUGAAAUAAAACCGUUGCCUCGGCGGGCGGUCCCCCCCAAACCAACCCCACGUGGUGGGUUAGGGGAGACCAGACAGUCCGGUACGCUUAAGGCGUCCGGCGCCAGCCGCUGGCCCCAAACAAUUAAACUCUAGUAAUCUUUACCUUCUGAGUUUCAAUAUUU
rnacentral:misc_RNA from 1 species